UGCUGUGCUGCCGUGAGUGGAUGGAUGUC
rnacentral:piRNA from 1 species